UACGUAGGGGGCAAGCGUUGUCCGGAGUUACUGGGCGUAAAGCGCACGCAGGCGGUCGCGUAAGAGUGCGGGGACAGUGGGCGGCUUAACUGCCCAAGGGUCGCACAGACUGCGUGACUGGAGGGCCAGAGAGGGACCUGGAAUUCCGGGUGGAGCGGUGAAAUGCGUAGAUAUCAGGAGGAACACCGGUGGCGAAGGCGGGUCUCUGGACCGAUACUGACGCUGGAGGCGACGAAAGCGUGGGGAGCAAACAGG
rnacentral:rRNA from 1 species